rnacentral:tRNA from 1 species
GGGCCUAUAGUUAAACGGCAUAACACAUCGUUCGCAACGAUGUAUUCCGAGUUCAAUUCUCGGUAGGUCCA